AGGCUUAGUGGCGGACGGGUGAGUAACGCGCCUGUAACCUGGCCCAUACAGGGGGAUAACACUUAGAAAUAGGUGCUAAUACCGCAUAACAACAGAAAGCGCAUGCUUUUUGUUUGAAAACCAAGGUGGUAUGGGAUGGACCCGCGUCUGAUUAGCUGGUUGGCGGGGUAAAGGCCCACCAAGGCGACGAUCAGUAGCCGGCCUGAGAGGGUGGACGGCCACAUUGGGACUGAGACACGGCCCAAACUCCUACGGGAGGCAGCAGUGGGGAAUAUUGCACAAUGGGGGAAACCCUGAUGCAGCGACGCCGCGUGAGUGAAGAAGUAAUUCGUUAUGUAAAGCUCUAUCAGCAGGGAAGAAAAUGACGGUACCUGAGUAAGAAGCCCCGGCUAACUACGUGCCAGCAGCCGCGGUAAUACGUAGGGGGCAAGCGUUAUCCGGAUUUACUGGGUGUAAAGGGAGCGUAGACGGCAGUGCAAGUCUGGAGUGAAAGGCGGGGGCUCAACCCCCGGACUGCUCUGGAAACUGUACGGCUGGAGUGCAGGAGAGGUAAGUGGAAUUCCUAGUGUAGCGGUGAAAUGCGUAGAUAUUAGGAGGAACACCAGUGGCGAAGGCGGCUUACUGGACUGUAACUGACGUUGAGGCUCGAAAGCGUGGGGAGCAAACAGGAUUAGAUACCCUGGUAGUCCACGCCGUANACGAUGAUCACUAGGUGUCGGGGGUUAAAGAACCU
rnacentral:rRNA from 1 species